rnacentral:rRNA from 1 species
CCCGUAAUCCGGGUUGCGGACAGUGUCUGGUGGGUAGUUUGACUGGGGCGGUCUCCUCCUAAAGAGUAACGGAGGAGCACGAAGGUUGGCUAAUCCUGGUCGGACAUCAGGAGGUUAGUGCAAUGGCAUAAGCCAGCUUGACUGCGAGCGUGACGGCGCGAGCAGGUGCGAAAGCAGGUCAUAGUGAUCCGGUGGUUCUGAAUGGAAGGGCCAUCGCUCAACGGAUAAAAGGUACUCCGGGGAUAACAGGCUGAUACCGCCCAAGAGUUCAUAUCGACGGCGGUGUUUGGCACCUCGAUGUCGGCUCAUCACAUCCUGGGGCUGAAGUAGGUCCCAAGGGUAUGGCUGUUCGCCAUUUAAAGUGGUACGCGAGCUGGGUUUAGAACGUCGUGAGACAGUUCGGUCCCUAUCUGCCGUGGGCGCUGGAGAACUGAGGGGGGCUGCUCCUAGUACGAGAGGACCGGAGUGGACGCAUCACUGGUGUUCGGGUUGUCAUGCCAAUGGCACUGCCCGGUAGCUAAAUGCGGAAGAGAUAAGUGCUGAAAGCAUCUAAGCACGAAACUUGCCCCGAGAUGAGUUCUCCCUGAGACUUAGAGUCUCCUGAAG